CUGGUGAUGACCUGCCCUUUUAGCAUAGACACACCCUUGAGUGAGAAGCAACUCCGCCAUUUCUGUUUACUCGCUGUAUCCGUUAGCUAGAGGAUUACAAUGUCUGCACAAACAACAACAACAACAACAACAACAACAAAAACACUACAAAUAUUCUGUUGUUGGAUGUACCGGAAAUGUGCCGGAGAAUGGCGGUAAAAUGUUAUAUAUCUGCGCAAAUCAUUUUACGCAUGACUGCUUCACCAACGAGUCAGUACAACGCUGGAUUUGCAAAAAUGUUGUUUCUGAAGGAUGGGUAAAAUUGGCUCUAACUUCAUAUCCAGAACAAGGAACACAUUUCUCUCUGUAACAAAGAAGAUGGUGAGCAAAGGUAGCCUUCAUUUUGGAGCAGCACCUGGGUUUUGCCUUGUUUUCCGGGUGCUGGAUCCAGGCCGUAUCCAGAUCAGAUGGAGAACCUG